rnacentral:rRNA from 1 species
UUUAAUUCGAAGCAACGCGAAGAACCUUACCUAGACUUGACAUCUCCUGGAAUUACCCGGUAACUGGGGAAGCUCUUCGGAGCAGGAAGACAGGUGGUGCAUGGUUGUCGUCAGCUCGUGUCGUGAGAUGUUGGGUUAAGUCCCGCAACGAGCGCAACCCUUAUCGUUAGUUGCUACCAUUAGGUUGAGCACUCUAGCGAGACUGCCCGGGUUAACCGGGAGGAAGGUGGGGAUGACGUCAAGUCAGCAUGGCCUUUAUGUCCGGGGCUACACACACGCUACAAUGGCCGGUACAAUAGGUAGCAAGACCGCGAGGUGGAGCCAAUCCUUAAAGCCGGUCUCAGUUCAGAUUGCAGGCUGCAACUCGCCUGCAUGAAGUCGGAGUUGCUAGUAACCGCGCGUCAGCAAUAGUGCGGUCGAAUACGUUCCCGGGCCUU